UCCUCCUUAAAAGUCAAGAAUUUCACCAGUACAGUGAUAAUGUCUUAUUUGUAUAUGAUUUGUUGCCAUUUUAAUAUAUGCUAUACACAUAUUAUUGUCAGUCAUGGCAAUUUCAACAUGAUUUAGAACUACUGAUAAAAAAAAAUGCCAACAAGUAAAAAAAUCAGGUGAAAUACCAAAGUUGACCAAUUAUGUGCUCCUUCAUGUGAGGGUUGAGCCUUCUGAUGCGUUUAUGCACAAAUACAGGCAUUAAAAGGGUACCUUUUUGUUCGCUACCUCUAGAUUGAUAUGUAUUUUUAUCCUUACCAAUUAUGUAAGUAUCCCAAUAUUUUGUCCUUUGCCUGUUUAUUUCUCUUAUUUUUUGCUCCUCAUGUCUGGAAUUAUUGAUAUUGAACAUACUGAAAAACUGAAAACAUACACUUAUGCAUCAAACAGUUCAGUCACAGAAUCGAAUGAAGGAAUCGAGGCAGGCCUCAUCCACAAGUACUUCACAGAGGGACACGCUUAUGAAGUGAUACUUGAUUUUCUAGAAAAAAGACACAACAUUGUUCUUAGUCUGAGGACCUUAAAGAGGAGGCUGCAGAACGCUGGCUUAACAAGAAGGACAGACUACACUCCCAUUGGCACUGUACACCAAACUGUUGCACAUGAACUGAGAGGCUCGGGUCGGCUGUUGGGUUACAGAGCUAUGUGGCAGACAUUGCAACAAAAGUAUCACCUGACAGUAAAAAGGGAGGAUGUUAGACAGACGAUUUCCAGACUGGAUCCAUCUGGUGUUCAACUUCGUUCCAGGCGAAGGUUUGUCCGAAGGGGAUACGUCACAGCAGGACCAAACCAAGUGUGGCACGCUGAUGGAUAUGAUAAACUUAAACCCUUUGGUAUUGCCAUCAGUGGCUGCAUCGACGGCUUUUCAAGGAAAGUUAUGUGGCUCAGGAGUGGCAGCACUAACAACGAUCCGGGCAUCAUUGCGCAGUAUUACCUGCAGUGUGUAUCGGAGUUUGGACUACUUCCAGCGAAAACGGCACUAUGGCAGCCAUUAACUGCACGUUACGAUCUCAACACACAGAUGAUUUUGCAGGAGCCCUCAGUCACAUGUAUGGUACCUCAACUGCAAACCAGCGCAUCGAGAGUUGGUGGUCUUUCUUCAGAAAGCAACUUAUAGCCUUUUAAGGUCAGGUCCAAGAAUGUAUGUGUGUGUGUAUAUAGUACAGAGGUGCCCAAAUACUUUAAAUCUAUCAUUAGAGCUGUACACUAACAUUUUCCCAAGGGAGUUUAUGUGCUCCCAAAUGAAAUAAUGUAGGAGCGCACCAAGAAAUGUACAACAUUUCUAGAAAUAUUGUGACUUUUUAGCAAAAUAUUGUGACUUUUUACUUGAAGUUGUCUUUUUUUCAUGAAAUACAAAAGUUUUGAAUUCCACCAUUAGGACUCAGUUCUGGAUCGAGCUCUUCAGUGACCUUAGAGAGAGGCACCUCUUCAAUGGGAGCCAUGAGCACAAGUGUCUGCUGCGAUAUGUGUUUUUGGGCAUCUUACAAAAAGACCUCGAUGAGUACAGACAGCUGUGGAACAACCACACCAUCCGACCUGUUCGCCUGUCUCAGUGUCCAUCAGGUAAACCUGAUGCCAUGUACCACCUGCCUCACAGGUUUGUAUUGAAAUUGUUUGGUAAUAUUACUUUAAAAUAUAUCUGACUUCAUAUAAUUUGGUGUAUCAGCCCAAUAUGACAAGUUUGUCACUUGAUAAAUAACGUGAUUCAUUUAGUCUGAAAACUCAUUAUUUCAAAAUGAUUUCAAGUCUUAAACGACUAAAAAUGGAUUCCAACACAACCUAAAUCAGAAAAUGUCCAAAGCUAUUCUGUCGAUUUAUCUUACUCAAUUCCAAAAAGUACCUUGUGUUAGAAAGUGAAUAGAAUGACCAUAUUUGACUGAAAGAGCUGCUGUCAACCUGAGAUUAACUUCUCAAGUCAAAGCUCUUUGUUUAGGAUUUAAUUAACGAAGAACUGACUCAAUGGAGUUUUAGUUAUAAUGCUUAUCUAGCAUGUUUGGGGGGGUUAAAUGAUCCAUUUGUAAUCACUUGACUCAUUAUGUUUCAAUUUAUGACU